UGAUACAGAGGGCCGGCCGCUGGCAACAUCGGUCCAAUCCUUAAAGUCAUCCUCAGUUCGGACUGGGGUCUGCAACCCGACCCCACGAAGCUGGAUUCGCUAGUAAUCGCGCAUCAGCCAUGGCGCGGUGAAUACGUUCCCGGGCCUUGUACACACCGCCCGUUAAGCCAUGAAAGCCGGGGGCGCCUGAAGUCCGUGACCGCGAGGGUCGGCCUAGGGUGAAACCGGUGAUUGGGGCUAAGUCGUAACAAGGUACC
rnacentral:rRNA from 1 species